rnacentral:rRNA from 1 species
CCUACGGGAGGCAGCAGUAGGGAAUCUUCCGCAAUGGACGAAAGUCUGACGGAGCAACGCCGCGUGAACGAUGAAGGCCUUCGGGUCGUAAAGUUCUGUUGUUAGGGAAGAACAAGUGCUAGUUAAAUAAGCUGGCACCUUGACGGUACCUAACCAGAAAGCCACGGCUAACUACGUGCCAGCAGCCGCGGUAAUACGUAGGUGGCAAGCGUUGUCCGGAAUUAUUGGGCGUAAAGCGCGCGCAGGCGGUUUCUUAAGUCUGAUGUGAAAGCCCCCGGCUCAACCGGGGAGGUCAUUGGAAACUGGGAAACUUGAGUGCAGAAGAGGAAAGUGGAAUUCCAAGUGUAGCGGUGAAAUGCGUAGAGAUUUGGAGGAACACCAGUGGCGAAGGCGACUUUCUGGUCUGUAACUGACGCUGAGGCGCGAAAGCGUGGGGAGCAAACAGGAUUAGAUACCCUGGUAGUCCACGCUGUAAACGAUGAGUGCUAAGUGUUAGAGGGUUUCCGCCUUUAGUGCUGAAGUUAACGCAUUAAGCACUCCGCCUGGGGAUCGGUGCAAGACUGAAACUCAAAGGAAUUGACGGNNGAGACNGCGAGACGACGACGAGGGAGAG